UUCAUAGGACAUUCGUGUUGGCAAACCCCAAGUGGCUCGAAGUGUUCUGAGAAGUAGAAAUGGUAGCUCUGACCCUUAGACUGCUGUAGGGACUAAGCCCCACCUGCCCCCUUGUUGUGUUGGCAGGAGACAGGAAACGUGUAUGAGUGCUGGAGGAAAGGAUCAGGGUGGGCAGGAUAACAUCUCAGGAGUGGGGCUAGCAGCCCUGCUGCUCAGACAACUUCCCCUGCUGCCAAAACACCUGUAGUUUGUUCAUGAAAGUCCCCACCGGGAGGAAAUAUUGACCAUUAACCUUAUUCUGCAUGCAGUCUUAGCUCUGUUUUCUUUCCUCACGUCAGCAAUCACCUGUGUGCUCAGGGCUUGCAGUUAAGAAGAAGAAGCCGUGGAAGUGCUGGGGUUGACAGCUAAUGGCAGAUGCUGAAUGUUUUGAGUUUUUCCUACAAGCAGGUGAAAGGAAACUUUGUGCACUACUCUGCUACUUUCCUUGAGGCUUUCAGGCCAGAUUUGCACAGUAUUUCCUAGGGGCCAUCAUCCUCCACUGAAGAUGACAUUAUCUUUUACACAAACUGUGAGUGUUUUUGUCACCCGUUUGAUUUCAGUCCAAAGAGAGUUAAGAUCUUGGAUAUAUCCCUCUUAGAUGGUGAACACCUCUCUUGGGUAAUUUUUAUUUUCUGCCCGGUGAAUGAAAGCCAGACCCACUAACGACACUCAGCUAUUUGCUUUAGGAUGCACCUGCAUAUGUACUUGUUUUGCAACAAAAAUAUCUCUGAAACUGAAAUGAUUUGUAGGCGAACUACAACUCUAGCAUGCUAAAAGUAGUCAACAAGAGCUGGUAGAUACUUUCUGUAGUGUGGAAACUAGGGGGAAGUGUAAUCAGAAAUAAUCACAAUGGGCCAAAUCUGAGGUCCUUACUCAUUUUUAUCAAGUACAUCUAUCUAUCUACAUCAUCAUCUUCUAUUUACAUAACCAUCAAAUCUUAGGCAAACUUCCAAGACUUUUGCUCUCUCUCUCAAGGCUUUUGCUUGAAUAAGUGAUGGAGAAAACCUGAGUCUUCAGGAUUUAGUCCAGCCUGCUUUCCUUCUCCAUUUGGAGUCCAUUCUCUCUCCUACCGUGUUAAUAUUUACUGUGUGAUCACAGGCAGCAGAAGUGGCAUGCCAUU
rnacentral:lncRNA from 1 species